rnacentral:rRNA from 2 species
UAGGGAAUCUUCGGCAAUGGACGAAAGUCUGACCGAGCAACGCCGCGUGAGUGAAGAAGGUCUUCGGAUCGUAAAACUCUGUUGUUAGAGAAGAACAAGGACGUUAGUAACUGAACGUCCCCUGACGGUAUCUAACCAGAAAGCCACGGCUAACUACGUGCCAGCAGCCGCGGUAAUACGUAGGUGGCAAGCGUUGUCCGGAUUUAUUGGGCGUAAAGCGAGCGCAGGCGGUUUCUUAAGUCUGAUGUGAAAGCCCCCGGCUCAACCGGGGAGGGUCAUUGGAAACUGGGAGACUUGAGUGCAGAAGAGGAGAGUGGAAUUCCAUGUGUAGCGGUGAAAUGCGUAGAUAUAUGGAGGAACACCAGUGGCGAAGGCGGCUCUCUGGUCUGUAACUGACGCUGAGGCUCGAAAGCGUGGGGAGCAAACAGG